rnacentral:sRNA from 1 species
GGUGCUGAUUGGAGAGCACCAGCCCGUGGCGUCGGUUGGCUAGUCCCAUUGCCUAUCAGGAAGGGGGCGGAGAAAUGGGCCGAGAGCGUCUCCGCCCCCCACCGGAGAAUUGCCGCUAUCUUCAGGUUUGCCUGAGAGGGCGAGUUACCGGGAAAGGAGCAUCACAAUGGCAGUGCGCGUGCGCACGCGGAUUCUGGGACUUGUAGUUCUAGCCCCCGCUGCAACGGCCGGCCUGUCCUGAGGAGAGUCGUAAGGGCGCAGUGCUUCUGAGAGCUGACUUAAGUGGCAAGUGACAUCAUGCUUGGCAAACAGGCAGUACAAGCAGUACUGUAAGUAAAUCACUUAUUCAGCAUUUAAUAAAUGGUCUUCUCUACUUUCUUCUUCUUCUCUACCAUGUGUGGUCUGGGAAUGGAGUUCAGAUUGUCAGUCUUGGUGGUCAGUGCUCACCCUGGUCCACUGUGUGCCCUACUAAAUGUGAAAUCAAACCAUGUCCUUGUAAGCAACAUAACUUGGGUAUAGGUUUUUCAUUCGAAUUAAUCACUCUGUCUUGUAACUGUAGAAUUCAUUUCAUCGGUUAGUAAUUUGAUGUUAAACAAUUAUGUAACAUAUCUUCUAGUUUUGAGUUCUUUUCUUUCUCUCUUAGACUUUUCCUUUUGGCUAAAUGAUUUACUCUAUUGAUAUUUUGAUCACUUACUAUUUUCUGUUUCUCUGCUUUAGACUUUUGUUUUCUGGUUACUAUACUCAGAGUUUAGUUAACAAGCUGAUCUGCAUGACAGCAGUGUAAUGCAAAGGGAAACGACAUUAAGCAGCAAGCCCUAUGCUUUCGAGGUCGCUCUUCCUCACUGAGCUUUGACUGCUUCGUUUCCCAUCUUCCUAUUUGACUCGUCUGCAAUGCUUCAUGUUAAUUAUCAGCUUGAUGAGAUCUAGAAUUACCUGGGAAAUGAACUUCUGCGCAAUUGUCUUGAUUAGCUGAGUUGAAUCAGGAAGGCCUGCCCACCAUGGUGAGGGGGACAGACCAUUACCUGAGCUGGGAUACUAGCCUGUACAAAAAAGGACAGAGUGAGCUGAGCCCAAGGAUUGGUUGCUUCACACUCUCUGCCCAUACAAUGUGACAAGCUACUUAAGCUCCUCUUAACUGUGAAUCAAAAUAAACUUUCUAAAGUUGUUUUUUAUCAGUGUAUUUUUAUCACAGCAAUAGAAGAGUAAGACACUUUUGUAUGUCUUUUUUUUUUCUCAGAAACAUGGCUAUGUUAUGGAGGCUGGCACCCAAACUUACAGGCUCAAGCGAUCUUUUUGCCUCAGACUCCUGAGUAAUUGGGACUGCCAGGCACAAACAACCCACUGUCCUUGGCUUGUAGAAUCUUUUUUUUAAAUCUUCUAUUGGUUAAUAGUGUUUGACCUACUGUUUUACAAUACUAGAACAUUCUGAAUUUAUCUGUACAGUCACUCUUGCCUGUGAGUUAGUAUCUUUUUUCUGUCUUGUGGCACUGGGAAUCAAACCCAGGGUCUUACACAUACUAGGCAGGUAAGUGGUCUACCUGACUAAACUCUUAUCCCCAAAGUCUUUCUAUUCCAUGAGUUCCCUUUAGCAUUUUUUGUAGGACAGCUCUGGUAGAGAUAGAUUCUCUUAGCUUUUUAUUUGGAAAUAUCUUUUUUUCUCUUUCAAUCCUGAAGGCUAGCUUUAUCUUGGCUGAUUUUCCCUCAUCAGUACUAAGUACAUCUUAAGUAUUUCCUCUUUUCUUACAAGAUUUUUUAGAAGUUUGCCAUCAGGUAAACAGAGACACGGUUAUGCUUGCUUGUUUUCUCUUGCAGUUUUGAGAAUAUUUAUAUUUUAUACUUUUGAGAGCUUAAUUAUGAUAAUGGGGUAAAACUUGGUUGAAUCAAAACCUUCCAGUUUUGUGCUAUGUCAUAAAAUGUGUUUAAUGUAGGCAUGGAAUACUACCUGAAAAUAGUAUGUAUAAAUCUACACAUGGUGAUGAAAUGUACAGUUAAAAAGUUUGGAGGCCAUUAACCCUAGAAGUCUGUGUCUUGAACAAACUUUAACCUGGCUGUGGUGACAUAUGCCUAUAAUUCCAGUAGUUGAGAGGUGGAGGUAGAAGGAUCAGGAGUUCAAGGCCAGCCUUACGUCAUGAGUUGGAGCCCAGCAUGAGCCCCAUGAGACUGCCUAAAACAAACAAACAAACAAACAAACAAAAAUGGCUGGGCUGACACACGUUUAAGCAUAACUUCUUUCUAGGUAGGCUUUUUAUACUUCAAACCCAAAUCCCCAAACAUGAGAAGUCCCUUUUUUUCUUUUUAAAUAUACACAUAUAAGAUAUUUUAUUUCAAAAAGCACAAGAACAUUAUACAAGUUUUUAAUUUACAUUUUUGCAAUAAAAGAUAUCAAUAUAUGCAUCAUUUGUAUAACUUCAUCAUGAAUGGAAUUUGAAUCAGUGGUAUAAACAUGUUGCAGUCACUAAAUAUAGAUCAUCAUCAUCACAGUGAACCAAAAUGCAUAGUUGUUAUGAAAUGACAAAUGACCACUAAAAGGUGAACUCACAGCCCAUACACUAACAUAAUAAAUUAAUUAUACAGAUAUAUGUUUAUCUUUAAUAUCAUUAAAAUCCUUGCUAGGCCCUCGGAGCCAUCCUACUAAACCAAUUCUUUCACAUUCUACACUAAAUAAAGUGACUUGGUUGCUUAGGUAAACUUCUUAGCAGACUUAAAUCGUUUGUCAUGAUGAAUACUGUUAAAAGUCCCUUGGGCUGGGGCAGCACUGUGGCCUACGUCCACCCUCCAGUGCAGAGACUUCCAUCUCAAGAAGCAGAACUCAGCAAUGGAUUAGGUUCUUUGGCUGGUGCUAGCUAGUCCUCCUGGCAGCUGGAAAGCUUAGCUCCAGGGUUUACAAAUUAAAUCUAAGAAGGCUAAAAAUAAGAAGUCUUUAU